UAUCCAACCUCAGAACAUUAGCAGCA
rnacentral:piRNA from 1 species